rnacentral:rRNA from 1 species
UACGGGGGGGGCAAGCGUUGUUCGGAAUUACUGGGCGUAAAGGGCUCGUAGGCGGCCAACUAAGUCGGACGUGAAAUCCCCAGGCUCAACCUGGGAACUGCGUCUGAUACUGGAUGGCUUGAAUCCGGGAGAGGGAUGCAGAAUUCCAGGUGUAGCGGUGAAAUGCGUAGAUAUCUGGAGGAACACCGGUGGCGAAGGCGGUUCUCUGGGAAUGACCUGACGCUGAGGAGCGAAAGUGUGGGGAGCGAACAGG